rnacentral:tRNA from 1 species
GGUGGCUCAGUGGUAGAGUGCUUGCUUAGCAUGCAUGAAGCCCUGGGUUCGAUUCCUCAGCACCA